UACGUAGGGGGCUAGCGUUGUCCGGAAUCAUUGGGCGUAAAGCGCGUGUAGGCGGCCCGGUAAGUCCGCUGUGAAAGUCCAGGGCUCAACCCUGGAAAGCCGGUGGAUACUGUCGGGCUAGAGUCCGGAAGAGGCGAGUGGAAUUCCUGGUGUAGCGGUGGAAUGCGCAGAUAUCAGGAGGAACACCGAUGGCGAAGGCAGCUCGCUGGGACGGUACUGACGCUGAGGCGCGAAAGCGUGGGAGCGAACAGG
rnacentral:rRNA from 1 species